AUUGAACGCUGGCGGCAGGCUUAACACAUGCAAGUCGAGCGGGGGAGGUUGCUUCGGUAACUGACCUAGCGGCGGACGGGUGAGUAAUGCUUAGGAAUCUGCCUAUUGGUGGGGGACAACAUUCCGAAAGGGAUGCUAAUACCGCAUACGCCCUACGGGGGAAAGCAGGGGAUCUUCGGACCUUGCGCUAAUAGACGAGCCUAAGUCGGAUUAGCUAGUUGGUGGGGUAAAGGCCUACCAAGGCGACGAUCUGUAGCGGGUCUGAGAGGAUGAGCCGCCACACUGGGACUGAGACACGGCCCAGACUCCUACGGGAGGCAGCAGUGGGGAAUAUUGGACAAUGGGCGGAAGCCUGAUCCAGCCAUGCCGCGUGUGUGAAGAAGGCCUUUUGGUUGUAAAGCACUUUAAGCGAGGAGGAGGCUCUUAAGGUUAAUACCCUUGAUGAGUGGACGUUACUCGCAGAAUAAGCACCGGCUAACUCUGUGCCAGCAGCCGCCGUAACAC
rnacentral:rRNA from 1 species